GGCGUGCUUAACACAUGCAAGUCGAGCGGUAAGGCCCUUCGGGGUACACGAGCGGCGAACGGGUGAGUAACACGUGGGUGAUCUGCCCUGCACUUCGGGAUAAGCCUGGGAAACUGGGUCUAAUACCGGAUAUGACCUUCGGCUGCAUGGCUGAGGGUGGAAGGGUUUACUGGUGCAGGAUGGGCCCGCGGCCUAUCAGCUUGUUGGUGGGGUAAUGGCCUACCAAGGCGACGACGGGUAGCCGACCUGAGAGGGUGACCGGCCACACUGGGACUGAGACACGGCCCAGACUCCUACGGGAGGCAGCAGUGGGGAAUAUUGCACAAUGGGCGAAAGCCUGAUGCAGCGACGCCGCGUGAGGGAUGACGGCCUUCGGGUUGUAAACCUCUUUCAGCAGGGACGAAGCGAGAGUGACGGUACCUGCAGAAGAAGCACCGGCCAACUACGUGCCAGCAGCCGCGGUAAUACGUAGGGUGCAAGCGUUGUCCGGAAUUACUGGGCGUAAAGAGCUCGUAGGCGGUUUGUCGCGUCGUCUGUGAAAACUCGAGGCUCAACCUCGAGCUUGCAGGCGAUACGGGCAGACUUGAGUACUGCAGGGGAGACUGGAAUUCCUGGUGUAGCGGUGAAAUGCGCAGAUAUCAGGAGGAACA
rnacentral:rRNA from 1 species